rnacentral:rRNA from 1 species
GAAUUCGCCCUUAGAGUUUGAUCCUGGCUCAGGAUGAACGCUGGCGGCGCGCCUAACACAUGCAAGUCGAACGGCACCCACCCUCGGGUGGAAGCGAGUGGCGAACGGCUGAGUAACACGUGGAGAACCUGCCCCCUCCCCCGGGAUAGCCGCCCGAAAGGACGGGUAAUACCGGAUACCCCGGGGUGCCGCAUGGCACCCCGGCUAAAGCCCCGACGGGAGGGGAUGGCUCCGCGGCCCAUCAGGUAGACGGCGGGGUGACGGCCCACCGUGCCGACAACGGGUAGCCGGGUUGAGAGACCGACCGGCCAGAUUGGGACUGAGACACGGCCCAGACUCCUACGGGAGGCAGCAGUGGGGAAUCUUGCGCAAUGGGGGGAACCCUGACGCAGCGACGCCGCGUGCGGGACGGAGGCCUUCGGGUCGUAAACCGCUUUCAGCAGGGAAGAGUCAAGACUGUACCUGCAGAAGAAGCCCCGGCUAACUACGUGCCAGCAGCCGCGGUAAUACGUAGGGGGCGAGCGUUAUCCGGAUUCAUUGGGCGUAAAGCGCGCGUAGGCGGCCCGGCAGGCCGGGGGUCGAAGCGGGGGGCUCAACCCCCCGAAGCCCCCGGAACCUCCGCGGCUUGGGUCCGGUAGGGGAGGGUGGAACACCCGGUGUAGCGGUGGAAUGCGCAGAUAUCGGGUGGAACACCGGUGGCGAAGGCGGCCCUCUGGGCCGAGACCGACGCUGAGGCGCGAAAGCUGGGGGAGCGAACAGGAUUAGAUACCCUGGUAGUCCCAGCCGUAAACGAUGGACGCUAGGUGUGGGGGGACGAUCCCCCAGUGCCGCAGCCAACGCAUUAAGCGUCCCGCUUGGGGAGUACGGCCGCAAGGCUAAAACUCAAAGGAAUUUGACGGGGGCCCGCACAAGCGGUGGAGUAUGUGGUUUAAUUCGACGCAACGCGAAGAACCUUACCAGGUCUUGACAUUGAUCGCUAUUCCAAGAAAUUGGAAGUUCCUCUUCGGAGGACGAGAAAACAGGUGGUGCACGGCUGUCGUCAGCUCGUGUCGUGAGAUGUUGGGUUAAGUCCCGCAACGAGCGCAACCCCUAUCUUAUGUUACCAGCACGUUAUGGUGGGGACUCAUGAGAGACCGCCGCGGACAACGCGGAGGAAGGUGGGGAUGACGUCAAGUCAUCAUGCCCCUUAUGACCUGGGCUACACACGUACUACAAUGGGUGUCAACAAAGAGAAGCGAAGCUGCGAGGCAGAGCAAACCUCAAAAACACACCCCCAGUUCAGAUUGCAGGCUGCAACCCGCCUGCAUGAAGUAGGAAUCGCUAGUAAUCGCGGGUCAGCAUACCGCGGUGAAUACGUUCCCGGGCCUUGCACACACCGCCCGUCA